CGCAACAUCACUGCAAACACUCUAGCAGUGCUAGAAGCCAUGGCUGCACACAAUGUGAGGACUCUCAUCUACUCCAGCACAUGUGCGACCUAUGGAGAGCCUGACAAGAUGCCCUCGCUGAAGGAACUCCCCAGGUCAGCAGUUCAGUUAUGAUUUCUGAAACCAUUAGUUCCUUUCUAAAAUCAAGUUGAACGCCUCUCUAGCUAGCAUUAACAAAAAAAUGAGGUUGAAGUUUACAAACUUCACUUCUGGUUCAGGAACACGGCUUUCUUCAACACUUCGUAAGUGGAUUAUUUCCUAUCCAGAAUUUGUCAUAACCAUUACUAGGCAGAAAUCAUCAUUUGGUUUCAUAAUUUGCUAACUGUAGUAAAUGAUUAAUUAAACAAGCAAGGAGUGUACAAUUUUCCUUAGCCUGUUUCUACUACUAAUUAUUGUUUUUGAACUGGUAUUUUCAUUUUCUUUGUGCAAUCCAACUACUACAUCUAUCACUCCAGUAUCAUCCCGAACGUUUCAAUUUCAAAUAUGUACCCUAUAGUAGUCUGGAGUUGCACAUAUAUAUUUUAGAUCCCGAGCCCAAAAUCUUUUAGAUCCCAGUUCAUACCAAUUUAAUGUUAAGUUUGCCCCCACAACUGAUCUCGAUUUCUAUUCUCAGCAUUAUAUUGGUGAUAUCUCAGAGUUGGAUGCAUUGGAAGGCUUUGCUAAAGGUUUUCCUGGUUUUUAUCAUAGAUCUGUGCAUAAGAUUUGUCUUGAUUUUUUGUUUGUUUCAGAGAAAGCAGUAUUCUAACAUGGCAUGUUCCUACCUUGUUUUCUUAUUUGUCUGUGUUGUCUCCUGCAUGUUCUACACAAAAUCUUUGUACCCACAAUCUUUGUAUUCUAACAUCGAUAAGUGCCCAAAAUCUUUGUAUGCUUCUAAACAGACCUUUGGUAUUGUUGUACACAUUGGAUUCAAUACCACUUCUGUUGUCCCGGUAAGUAAUUGUCCAUAUUUAUAUUAUUAAGGGUUUUCAAUUAUUUACAGUGUGUUCCCAUGUGUUUGGUGAACAUUAGCCAUGUUGUUUGGCAUAUACAUCUUUCAGCUGCACUUAUCAUGUCGUUCACAUUUCACCAUUUUGAAGUGGAUCUGAAGUCACAUUGUUAUUUUUUUUGUAUUGAUCUACUACUACUGUCGGGGGCAUAAUUAGGGGUACCCUCAAGACUCCUAAUUCUCAGCUGGUAACCCCCAUCAGCAUAAAGCUGCUAAGGCCUGAUGGGUGCGAUUAAGUCAGGGAUCAGUCCAUUCGAGCGACUUGAUCACGCCUCGCCCGAGCCCAGCCUCGGACAAGGGCUGCCGACCCCGGAGGAUUUCCGUCUCGCCCGAGGCCCCCCUCCAACGGCGAACAUAUUUCCGGCUCGCCCGAGGCCCUGCCUUCACUAAGAAGCAACCCUGACUAAAUCGCCGCACCGACCGACCAAGUCGCAGGAGCAUUUAAUGCAAAGGUGGCCUGACACCUUUAACCUGACGCGCGCCCUCCGGCAGAGCCGAAGUGACCGCCGUCACUUCGCCGCUCCACUGACCGGCCUGACAGAAGGACAGCGCCGCCUGCGCCACUCCGACUGCAGUACCAUUUGACAGAGUGAGGCUGACAGGCAGUCAGGCCCUGCCGAAGGCACCAUAGGAAGCUCCGCUUCGCCCGACCCAGGGCUCGGACUCGGGCUCAGUCCCGGAAGACGGCGAACUCCGCUCCGCCCGACCUAGGGCUCGGACUCGGGCUCAGUCCCGGAAGACGGCAAACUCCGCUCCGCCCAACCCAGGGCUCGGACUCGGGCUAAGUCCCGGAAGACGGCGAACUCCGCUCCGCCCGACCCAGGGCUCGGAUUCGGGCUCAGCCCCAGAAGACGACGAACACCGCUUCGCCCGACCCCAGGUAUCAGACUCCGCCCUGGCCUCUGCCGACGACCUCCACCUCGCCCGACCCAGGGGCUCGGACUCGGCCUCGACCAUGGAAGACAGACUCGACCUCGGCUUCGGAGGAGCCUCCACAUCGCCCAACCUAGGGCGCAGGCCAGCCACGUCAACAGGAGGCGCCAUCAUCACCCUACCUCGAGCUGACUCGGGCCACAGGGAACAAGACCGGUGUCCCAUCUGGCUAGCUCCGCCAUAUAGGCAAUGAUGGCGCCCCACAUACUCUGUGACGACGGCGGCUCUCAGCCCCCUUACAGAAGCAAGAGGACGUCAGCAAGGACCCAACCGCUCCGACAGCUGUCCCUCCGCGAGGCUCCAUCGCUCCUCCGACGGCCACGACAUCACACCAGCUGGGCGCCAAGAUCUCUCCGGCUGCCACAUCGGCAUGUACUUAGGGCGCUAGCUCUCCCCCGCUAGACACGUAGCACUCUGCUACACCCCCAUUGUACACCUGGAUCCUCUCCUUACGCCUAUAAAAGGAAGGACCAGGGCCCUCUCAGAGAGGGUUGGCCGCACGGGGACGAGGACGAGACAGGCGCUCUCUUGGGGCCGCUCGCUUCCCUCUCCCGCGUGGACGCUUGUAACCCCCUACUGCAAGCGCACCCGACCUGGGCGCGGGACAAACACGAAGGUCGCGGGAUUCCCACCUCUCUCACGCCGGACUCCGGCCGCCUCGCUCUCCCCCCUUCGCGCUCGCCCUCGCUCUCGACCUAUCUGGGCUGGGGCACGUGGCGACACUCACUCGUCGGCCCAAGGGACCCCCCGGUCUUGAAACACCGACAGUUGGCGCGCCAGGUAGGGGCCUGUUGCGUGUUGACGAACAGCUUCCCAUCAAGCUCCAGAUGGGCAGUCUCCAGCAACCUCUCCAACCCGGGACGGUGCUCCGUUUCGGGAGUCUUGAGUUCAUGUCCCUCGACGGCAGCUACGACAUGAUACUCCUUCCACCGCCGCGCGACAACGACAAUGGCGGCCGACAACCCGCCCGCCGGCGGCGGAACCGACGACGUCUUCCCCGCAUGGUGGAAGAACAACUCUCGACUUCGUCCUGCCUUCUUCCCCGCCAACGGAGGGGAAGGCAGAGCAACCAAGGCCAAGCAAGAGGCAGCGCCUCGUUGGCUGUCGCGCGAGAAGACAGCGCCGGCACCCCAACGAGGGGCGCACCGGGUAUCGACUUCGCGCCUGAGACGAAGACGAGCGCCGUCUCCCCGCGACACGCCAAUCCCGAGCAAGCGGACGACGCCAGCGCGCUCGCGGAGAGCUUGCUGGACGUCACCCUCGUACCUGAGACGACGGUGCAGUCAGUCCCCGACGUGACUUUGUCGCCGCUCAUCGACCAAGAGGUACCGACCGAUUCCCAUCCCACGUCAUUCGGAUUCAGCCUCAACCCGCCUAGCGACCUUGCUUUGGCAGGCGCUCUCGUAGAGGCGAGUCCAAACCCUCUGGGGUUUCGCAUGCGGUCGCCUUGGGACCGGCUGACGGACGUCUCGACCUACGGGCCCUCUGGGUCCGAGGAAGACGACGAGCCCAGCAUCUGUUGGGAAUUCUCUGGACUUGGCAACCCCAGUGCCAUGCGGGACUUCAUCACCGCAUGUGACUACUGCCUCUCCGACUGUUCCGACGGUAGCCGCAGCCUCGACGACGAGGACUGCGGCCCAAGCCGCGAAUGUUUCCACGUCGAUCUAGGGGGUCCCUCCGAAGGCAAUCAUCUCGGCAUGCCGGGGGACGGUGAUCUCCCUAGGUCGGUGCCCCGCGUUGACAUCCCACGGGAGCUAGCUGUGGUCCCCGCUCAGGCGGGGGGCCAUGACCCACAGCUCGAGCAAAUCCGCGGGGUGCAGGCCAGGCUCGAUGAGGGAACAGGAGCGCUUGAGCCGAUCCGCUGGGACGUCGGGCAGGCAUGGGCGGGCCAACCCCCGGCCGGAGAAAUACGUCAUCUGCCCCAGGGUUUCCAGCACCGCGUCGCCGACGACGCCAGGGUCAGGCCGCCACCCGCAUCUAGUGGCAUCGGCCAGAACCUGGCUGCAGCAGCGAUGCUUCUCCGCGCGAUGCCGGAGCCAUCCACCACCGAGGGUCGGCGAAUCCAGGGGGAGCUCAAGAAUCUCCUGGAAGGCGCCGCGGUCCGACGGGCCGAGAGCUCUGCCUCCCAGAGGCAGGGAUACCCCUCGGAACCUCAUGCCGCGACUUCCCGAUUCAUGCGGGAAGCCUCGGUCUACACCGGGCGCACGCGCAACACCGCGCCUGCGGCCCCGGGCCGCCUCGGCAACGAGCACCAUCACCGCGACCGUCGGGCCCACCUCGACGAGAGGGUGCGCCGAGGCUACCACCCCAGGCGUGGGGGACGCUACGACAGCGGGGAGGAUCGGAGUCCCUCGCCCGAACCGCCCGGUCCGCAGGCCUUCAGCCGGGCCAUCCGACGGGCACCGUUCCCGACCCGGUUCCGACCCCCGACUACUAUCACAAAGUACUCGGGGGAGACGAGACCGGAACUGUGGCUCGCGGACUACCGUCUGGCCUGCCAACUAGGUGGAACGGACGACGACAACCUCAUCAUCCGCAACCUCCCCCUGUUCCUCUCCGACACCGCUCGCGCCUGGUUGGAGCACCUGCCUCCGGGGCAGAUCUCCAACUGGGACGACCUAGUCCAAGCUUUCGCCGGUAAUUUCCAGGGGACGUACGUGCGCCACGGGAAUUCCUGGGACCUCCGAAGCUGCCGGCAGCAGCCGAGAGAGUCUCUCUGAGACUACAUCCGGCGAUUUUCGAAGCAGCGCACCGAGCUGCCCUACAUCACCGACUCGGAUGUCAUCGGCGUGUUCCUCGCCGGCACCACCUGCCGCGACCUAGUGAGCAAGCUGGGUCGCAAGACCCCCACCAGGGCAAGCGAGCUGAUGGACAUCGCCACCAAGUUCGCCUCCGGCCAGGAGGCGGUCGAGGCUAUCUUCCGAAAGGACAAGCAGCCCCAGGGCCGCCCAUCGGAAGAUGCUCCCGAAGCGUCUACUCAGCGCGGCGCCAAGAAGAAAGGCAAGAAGAAGUCGCAAGUGAAACGCGACGCCGCCGACGCGGACCUUGUCGCCGCCACCGAGUACAAGAACCCUCGGAAGCCCCCCGGAGGUGCCAACCUCUUCGACAAGAUGCUCAAGGAGCCGUGCCCCUAUCAUCAGGGGUCCGUCAAGCACACCCUUGAGGAGUGUGUCAUGCUUCGGCGCCACUUCCACAGGGCUGGGCCACCCGCGGAGGGUGGCAGGGCCCGGGACGACGACAAGAAGGAAGAUCACCAAGCAGGAGAGUUCCCCGAGGUCCGCGACUGCUUCAUGAUCUACGAUGGACAAGCGGCGAAUGCCUCGGCUCGGCACCGCAAGCAAGAGCGCCGGGAGGUCUGCUCGGUGAAGGUGGCGGCGCCAGUCUACCUAGACUGGUCCGACAAGCCCAUCACCUUCGACCAAGCUGACCACCCCGACCAUGUGCCGAGCCCGGGGAAAUACCCGCUCGUCGUCGACCCCGUCAUCGGUGACGUCAGGAUCACCAAGGUCCUUAUGGACGGAGGCAGCAGCCUCAACAUCAUCUACACCGAGACCCUCGGGCUCCUGCGCGUCGAUCUGUCCUCCGUCCGAGCAGGCGCUGCGCCCUUCCACGGGAUCAUUCCCGGGAAGCGCGUCCAGCCCCUCGGACGACUCGACCUUCCCGUCUGCUUCAAAACGCCCUCCAACUUCCGAAGGGAGACUCUAACGUUCGAGGUGGUCGGGUUCCGAGGAACCUACCACGCGGUUCUGGGAAGGCCAUGCUACGCGAAGUUCAUGGCCGUCCCCAACUACACCUACCUGAAGCUCAAGAUGCCGGGCCCCAAUGGGGUCAUCACCGUCGGCCCCACGUACAAGCACGCGUUCGAAUGCGACAUGGAGUACACCGAGGCCCUCGCCGAGUCCGAGGCCCUCAUCGCCGACCUGGAAAGCCUCUCCAAAGAGGUGCCAGACGUGAAGCGCCAUGCCGGCAACUUCGAGCCAGUGGAGACGGUUAAGGCCGUCCCCCUCGACCCCAGUGGCGACGUCUCCAAGCAAAUCCGGAUCGGCUCCGGGCUCGAUCCCAAAUAGGAAGCAGUGCUCGUCGACUUCCUUCGCGCGAGCGCCGGCGUCUUCACGUGGAGUCCCACGGACAUGCCCGGCAUACCGAGGGAUGUCGCCGAACACUUGCUGGAUAUUCGGGCCGGAGCCCGACCCGUCAAAUAGUCUCUGCGCCGAUUCAACGAGGAGAAGCACAGAGCGAUAGGCGAGGAGAUCCACAAGCUAAUGGCGGCGAAGUCCAUAAAAGAGGCGAAAAGCGUCAAGCUCAACCCCGAAAGGUGGGUCCUCGGGGUGCCCCAGGGCAUGGUCUUGGGGUUCAUCAUCUCCAAGCGGAGCAUCGAAGCCAACCCGGAGAAGAUCGCGACCAUCGCACAGCACCCCGAGCCCUUGCUGGGGGCACCCGGGGGCUACACGCACCCCCGGGAAAGGCCGCUUGUCAUCGCCAAAGUUCUGGAGCCCGGAACGUACAAGCUGGCCGGCGGUCAAGGCGAGGUCUACGGCAACGCUUGGAACAUCCGACAGCUACGUCGCUUCUACCCUUAAGAUGUUUUCAAGCUGUUCGUAUACCUCGCUCCCACACAAGUCUCAGUCAUCAAGGAAGGGUCAGCCUCGCCUCGGCAGAGCCCGACCCUCCCUCGGGGGCUAAAAAGGGGGGAACCCCUCUACGUCAAGAUUGGGUGUACCUCUCCGCAUCCAAAAUUUUCGGUCAAAAAGGCUUUUGCGUUCUCCCGGCUACGUCAGAAGCAGGGCCCCAAGGAGCGAACGUGGGUGCAUGUAAGUGGCAAGGCCGACUGAGCCAAGGAACUCCUAUGCCUCCGGGUUAGGGACACCUCACUCAUCACCCGCCACGAAAAAUGACCCCUACUCGGGAAGCCACCCUAUUAUUGAUAGGCAAAGCCGGACACGCAAAAUAAAAGGAAGAGGAGUACGACUUCAUGCAAUGGAAACAAAGUGUUCAGGCCUCGGCGGCCGUAGAAAGACACACGCGCAUCCAACAGAAACUGUUCCAACAGAGUUAGGCGUCGCCUUGGGAAGGAGUCGCGCCUUCAGCUCCGUCCCUGCCUUCGGUAAAGUCCAUCUCGGCUUCCGGCGACGGCGCAGGGGGGAGGACCUCCGCCUCAAAGGUGGUCGCCAGCACUGCGCUCGGACCCGCGGCGACCGCGUCGAGCCGCUGGACUUCUACCAGGGCAGCUUCGUCUUCGUCAGGAAGACAAUACCCCUCACUAACCCGCUCCAGGUCCACAACGUAGUGGGAAGCGAGCACGGCGAAGGCCCGCCUGACGCCGUGGUGUAGCGCCUCACGGAGUCUGCCGCACACGUGAUCACCCAAGGCUUGAAGGCGACUUUGAGGGGAGCUUCUUGAGGGGACGUCGCCGGAGCCAAGGAUCCGAUAAACGUCCGAAACGGCUUCGGACAUGGCCGCGAGGUCGGCCUCCCUCUGCUCGGCCGCCCCGGCAAGCGCCUUAGCGGACUCAUCAAGGGCGGACUCGAGCUCUGCGAACAGCCAGAAGAAAGAUCUCAAACACAAGCAGAGGAAACAAACAAGAACGAGAACCAAGGAUGGCCAAGGCGUACCUCCGGCUCGGGCACGCUGCUCCGAGGCCGCGACCUGGGCUACGGCUAAGUCGGCUGCAAGGGUUUCGGCCCGGCUUUCGGCCUCGGCAGCCCGGCCCCGAGAUUGGUCCCGCUCCUCGACGACCUGGUCGAACUCCGACCGCUGCCGUUGCGCCUCUGCGCGCGCCGCGGCCGCCUCCGCGCGCGCCGCUGCCGCCUCGUCUCUCAGGUCAGUGCAGAGCAACUGGAGGUCCGCUACCUCGGCACCCUGCUGAGAAAGGCGCGCAGUAGCCCCGGCGAGCGAGGUCCUCAGGGAUCGCAGCGAGCCCCAGACGUCGACCUUGCGACGGAUGAACGACGACUUGGCGGCGCUCCGAUCCGUCAGAUCCUAAGGGAAGGAAGCGGGGCAUCACGAAGAACGCCUCGGUCACAGAAGAGAAAAGGUAUGCCUAAAACCGUUACCUGAAGGAUUUUGGGGACGUCCCUGCAGAAAACCUCCAGCGACGACCGGAGCGACCCCACCGUUGCUUCAGCACACUCGCAGAGCUCAUCCCAGGACUGGUCCUCCCGUUCAUCGUCGAGAACGAAGACGGGUCCGAGGCCUCACGGGUCCGGAACCGGAGCAACUGGUGCCGGCCCUCGGAGCUCUGCCGCACAGCGACGAGGCUACCGCCCGGUGGGACGGAUCGCGCCUCCACACCCCCCUCUUCCGAGGCACCAAGCGCCGACGCAUCAGCCGUCUCAACGUCGGCAGCAACCGGUCGCUCUCCGACUGGGACGACGGCGACUUUGGUAGCGGCAGGCGCCGGCAUGGCCGGCACGUUCGGUGGGCUCGGGACCACGUCAGCGUCAGCCGCCUCCCCAAUCACAAUGGCCGCCUCGGCAGAAGAGCCAGCCUCGGGAACCUGCUCCACGGCGACCGGUGCCGCCCGAGCCCCCUGCGGUGGAACGCCUUGCGAGAAGGUCGGCUGAACGGCAAGGCCCGGAGCGGCGCUGGUCGCACAGGCCGGCGUCGUCUUAAGGGCCUUCCGGGGUGCCAGGUCGGUCAGGCCAUGGCUUCGCUUGUUGAGGGAAAAGGAAAAGUCACGGCCGGGACAUAUGAAUGGAAAGCCAGGACGAAGACAUUCCGGGAUACUUACCCGCUCCGGGCCAUGAUCCACCGUGCCUGGGGGAAAGUCUCUUGGAUCUCGGCCCCCGGAACCGCCGCCGAGGUCCGCUUCGCCGGCAACUUCGGCACCACCCUUGCUUUGGGCGCCCGGGGGGCAGAUUGCCCAGGCACUGUCACGGUGACUUGAGGGUCGCCUCCCUGCGCUGCCGGCGCGAGCGACGGCUCUCGGGGAGUAGACGCCCUGGCCUGGCCCCCCGGGGUCACCUCAGCUCUUCCAGCCGAGGGGUCAGGUGCCCUCUCGGGUUGCCCCCGCCCCUCGGGCCGGGACCCCGACGCCCCAACUCCGGGGACUGACGGCAUCAACCCGCUCGGGGGCUGGCUUGAUGGCUCCUGGCCAAACCCCAAGCCGGGGCUGAGGCCAAGGCGGGCGGCCAUGUCGUCCUCCUCGUCAUCAUCUUCAUCAUCGUCGUCGUCGUCGGGCGUUUCCGGCGACGGCUCCCUCGGGAGCCCCUCCCUCUCCUGUCGGCGACGAAGCUUUUCCAAGGCGUCUCGAGCCCGCCUCCGCUCGCGGGCCCGGGCCUUCUCCGCGUCCUUCUUCUUCUUCUCCUCCGCGGCGACCCGCCGCGCUGCUCGGUCCACCGCAUCCUGCGGGACCCGUGGCAGGGAAGGCUUGUGCCACCCCACCUCCUGAAGAAGGGGGGAAAACCCCGAUCAUAAGAACCAGGAGCAACCCGAUGUAUGAAGAAGGAAGGAGCAGACACUCACCAGAGUCACGCACCCUCGGUCGGGGCACAUCAAAAGCUGGGAGAAGGCGUGGGGGUCCGGCUUCCCCAACGCGACGGACACCCGCCAUUGGCGGGCGUCGAAGGGAAGAGGAUCGGAGGACAUCCGCGAGCCCUCCCAGUCAGCCUCCGGGGUCAUCUCCCAAAGCGACAGUCGUCGCUCCGCCAAGGGAAGCACCCUCCGACGGUGGAUGGCGGCAAUCACUCCCGCAGCGGUGAGUCCCCCUUUCCGCAACGCCUCCAAGGCCUGGAGAAGGGGUUCGAGGUUCUUCUGUCUUUCGUGCGGGGUCCCGUGGCGCCAAGCAUCGGUGGCAGUGGUGACUACUCGCUGGGAGAACGGCGGGAGCAACUCGCCGUCAUUCCGGAGGUAGAACCACCGGCGCUGCCACCCCUUGUUCGAGGACGCGAGGAUGGCAGGAAUAUACUGUGACGCCCGCGACUGCCUCAGCAGGAGGGUACAGCCGCCGGCCCGCACUGCUGCGCGGACUUUUCUCUCCCCCGUCGGCGAGGCAAAAAGCUCCGCGAAAAAGAGAUGGGUCCACAAAUCCCAAUGGGGGGCGAUCCCCAAGUACCCCUCGCACACCGCUACGAAGAUGAUGGCCUGCGAGAUGGAGUUGGGGGUGAGGUUGUGCAACUCCACCCCAUAGUGGUACAGGAUCGCCCGCAUAAAGCGGCCCGCCGGCACACCAAAUCCCCGCUCGUGGAAGGAGACGAAGCUCACGAUGUACCCCGGCGGUGGGGACAGAGCGGCUCCGCCCACGGGAGGAAUCCAUUCCGGUCGCUGCUCAUCGGUGAGAGGGCGAAGCAAACCCUCGCCGACCAGAUCCUCCAGAUCACUCGCCGUCACCGUAGAAAAAGGCCAUGGAUCGCGCGGCGAGAUGAUGGUCACCCGGUCAGCCAUCACUGAGCGGAAGGGAUGGCGGCGCAAGGGGCAGGAAGGGCGGUUUCCUCUUCUCUGGCUAAGUCUCUCGGGUUGCGAAAACCUAAGAGGGAGGCAGGAAGCAGUGCAAUGAACCGUCACCAGACCCUCUCCCGGGUAUAUAAAGACCAAGGCGAGACCGGUUCCAACGUUCCGCCUGGACCGGACGCGGGAUUCAAAAACGCGAAGCGAAACAGCCGUUCCUCGAACGGCUCGCGCACGCGCAACGGCCGCCCCACCAACCACUCGCCCCGUCGCAUUAACUUCGCGGCGGGACAGGCGGCGCUCCUGGCAGGAGAAGCGGGCGACGCUUCGCCUUCGCCGUAAUAACCGCGCCAAAAAAGGUACGCCGUGUCGUUCGAUUUCGUAUCCUUUUCCUUUUUUCCUCUUUCUCUCUCUCUUGCAACAGGGACCGGGAAAGGGGGAUACCCCGAAAAGGAUCCUUCCCCGUGAAGGAACCGGGCUCCGAGCCUCCCUACUGAUCAGAGGUUCGAAGGCUGGCCCCCCGAAGGGUUCGACAGCCGCCUAAGAUCGUGUGGGCCCUACACCCACUACUGGUCAGAGGUUCGAAGGCCGCCCCCCCGAAGGGUUCCACGGCCGCCUCAGGCUACUCGGGCUCCGCGCCCAUUACUGAUCAGGGGUUCGAAGGCUGGCCCCCGAAGGGUUCACAGCCGCCUCAGACGCCGAGCGAGGGAUGACCAUGGGUACGUUUGAUACAUAACCAAGGCUCGGGCUGCGCUUCCGAGGUACCCUAGGACAUUUCCGAGACCAGCGGGAGCGAUCUUGUAAUGGAAUCCCAUCAGAGGGAGGCAUCGAGCCCUCGGACCCCGUCGCCAGGGGACCGGGUCUGGCAGAUCACCCGCAGGUACUUUUGGGCGUGCCUCUGGGCCUCUAGCCGACCCCUAACGAACGGGGCACGGACGUCCACUCGGAUUACCCGCUUGCAGCUCACCGGAGACACCAUGUUCGGCGCCCAUCGAGGGCAACAUGGCGCUUUCCCCCCCUCCUCCUUGCGGAAAGGCGACGCAGGGGCGUAUGUAAAAAAGCCAAGUCUGUCCCUGAUCACCCUCUCGCCCUGUGCAGAGGCUCAGGGGCUGCUCUCGCAAACCCGGCUCCGGCCGAACCGUUGACAGCGUCAACAUAUCAGCCCGAGAACUUGGGACCCGACCGUACACCCGGGCUACGGCCAGCUCGCAUGAGGGAACAACCAGACCAGCCGAAGCAUUGUGCGAGGCAUUAAGACCUCGAAGGAGUGAAACCACUCCUCCGAGGCCUCGGGGGCUACACCCGGCGGGUGCGCUCGCGCGCACCCACCGGAACAAAAUGCAACCGAGAAAGGCUGGUCCCCUUGCAAAAAAGUGCGACGAAAGCCUCCAAGCGAGUGCUAACACUCCCUUCGAGGCUCGGGGGCUACUGUCGGGGACCAUAAUUAGGGGUACCCUCAAGACUCCUAAUUCUCAGCUGGUAACCCCCAUCAGCAUAAAGCUGCUAAGGCCUGAUGGGUGCGAUUAAGUCAGGGAUCAGUCCAUUCGAGCGACUUGAUCACGCCUCGCCCGAGCCCAGCCUCGGACAAGGGCUGCCGACCCCGGAGGAUUUCCGUCUCGCCCGAGGCCCCCCUCCAACGGUGAACAUAUUUCCGGCUCGCCCGAGGCCCUGCCUUCGCUAAGAAGCAACCCUGACUAAAUCGCCGCACCGACCGACCAAGUCACAGGAGCAUUUAAUGCAAAGGUGGCCUGACACCUUUAUCCUGACGCGCGCCCUCCGGCAGAGCCGAAGUGACCGCCGUCACUUCGCCGCUCCACUGACCGGCCUGACAGAAGGACAGCGCCGCCUGCGCCACUCCGACUGCAGUACCAUUUGACAGAGUGAGGCUGACAGGCAGUCAGGCCCUGCCGAAGGCACCAUAGGAAGCUCCGCUUCGCCCGACCCAGGGCUCGGACUCGGGCUCAGUCCCAGAAGACGGCGAACUCGGCUCCGCCCGACCCAGGGCUCGGACUCGGGCUAAGUCCCGGAAGACGGCGAACUCCGCUCCGCCCGACCCAGGGCUCGGACUCGGGCUAAGUCCCGGAAGACGGCGAACUCCGCUCCGCCCGACCCAGGGCUCGGACUCGGGCUAAGUCCCGGAAGACGGCGAACUCCGCUCCGCCCGACCCAGGGCUCGGACUCGGGCUAAGUCCCGGAAGACGGCGAACUCCGCUCCACCCGACCCAGGGCUCGGAUUCGGGCUCAGCCCCAGAAGACGACGAACAUCGCUUCGCCCGACCCCAGGGAUCGGACUCCGCCCUGGCCUCUGCCGACGACCUCCGCCUCGCCCGACCCAGGGGCUCGGACUCGGCCUCGGCCAUGGAAGACAGACUCGACCUCGGCUUCGGAGGAGCCUCCACAUCGCCCAAUCUAGGGCGCAGGCCAGCCACGUCAACAGGAGGCGCCAUCAUCACCCUACCCCGAGCUAACUCGGGCCGCAGGGAACAAGACCGGUGUCCCAUCUGGCUAGCUCCGCCAGAUAGGCAAUGAUGGCGCCCCGCAUACUCUGUGACGACGGCGGCUCUCAGCCCCCUUACGGAAGCAAGAGGACGUCAGCAAGGACCCAACCGCUCCGACAGUUGUCCCUCCGCCAGGCUCCAUCGCUCCUCCUACGGCCACGACAUCACACCAGCUGGGCGCCAAGAUCUUUCCGGCUGCCACAUCGACAUGUACUUAGGGUGCUAGCUCUCCCCCGCUAGACACGUAGCACUCUGCUACACCCCCCAUUGUACACCUGGAUCCUCUCCUUACGCCUAUAAAAGGAAGGACCAGGGCCCUCUCAGAGAGGGUUGGCCGCGCGGGGACGAGGACGAGACAGGCGCUCUCUUGGGGCCGCUCGCUUCCCUCUCCCGCGUGGACGCUUGUAACCCCCUACUGCAAGCGCACCCGACCUGGGCGCGGGACGAACACGAAGGCCACGGGAUUCCCACCUCUCUCACGCCGGACUCCGGCCGCCUCGCUCUCCCCCCUUCGCGCUCGCCCUCGCGCUCGACCCAUCUGGGCUGGGGCACGCGGCGACACUCACUCGUCGGUCCAAGGGACCCCCCGGUCUCGAAACGCCGACAACUACCUUGUCAAUUGUUUGUAUUUUCUAAAUUUUUAGGGAGUUCCAAUGUUCUACAUGGGCGAUGAAUAUGGUCACACAAAGGGAGGGAACAACAAUACAUACUGCCAUGACCAUUAUGUCAGUCCGAUGCCAGCACAUAUUAACACAUUGUUUUAAUCAAUUUCUUUGACAUUCUUGUAAUUUUCUAGCCUUUUAAUUUGGUUGUGCAGGUCAAUUAUUUCCGUUGGGAUAAGAAGGAAGAACAAUCCUCUGAUUUGUACAGAUUCUGCCGCCUCAUGACCAAAUUCCGCAAGGAAUGUGAAUCCCUUGGCCUUGAGGACUUCCCGACUUCAGAACGGUUGCGAUAGCACGAUCAUCAGCCCGGGAAGCCUGACUGGUCAGAGGCAAGCCGAUUCGUUGCCUUCACCAUGAAGGACGAAACCAAAGGCGAGAUCUACGUGGCCUUCAACACCAGUCACCUGCCGGUGGUCGUCGGGCUUCUAGAGCGCUCUGGGUUCCGAUGGGAGCCGGUGGUGGACACCGGCAAGGAGGCACCAUAUGACUUCCUCACCGAUGGCCUGCCAGAUCGUGCUGUCACCGUCUACCAGUUCUCUCAUUUCCUCAACUCCAAUCUCUAUCCUAUGCUCAGCUACUCCUCCAUCAUCCUUGUAUUGCGCCCUGAUGUCUGAAAGAAACGGAUACAAUAGAGUAUAUUGUAGCCGUAGUAUAUAUUUUCUUUGACUUUUCUUUGACUUCCUUUUGUAGAUCUGCCAAACACAAACACAACUAAGCAAUGUAGCACAUACUAUUGGCACGACCCUCCACUCAUUUACAUUCUAAAUUUUAUAUUUUUUUAUAGUUCCUGAAUUUGAUCGCUCCUAAAUACUU